rnacentral:rRNA from 1 species
CCUACGGGAGGCAGCAGUGGGGAAUAUUGCACAAUGGGGGAAACCCUGAUGCAGCGACGCCGCGUGAGUGAAGAAGUAUUUCGGUAUGUAAAGCUCUAUCAGCAGGGAAGAAAUAAAGUCCUUCGGACUUUGGACGGUACCUGACUAAGAAGCCCCGGCUAACUACGUGCCAGCAGCCGCGGUAAUACGUAGGGGGCAAGCGUUAUUCGGAUUUACUGGGUGUAAAGGGAGCGUAGACGGCAGCGCAAGUCUGGAGUGAAAUCCCAUGGCUUAACCAUGGAACUGCUUUGGAAACUGUGAAGCUGGAGUGCAGGAGAGGUAAGCGGAAUUCGUAGUGGAGCGGUGAAAUGCGUAGAUAUUAGGAGGAACACCAGUGGCGAAGGCGGCUUACUGGACUGUAACUGACGUUGAGGCUCGAAAGCGUGGGGAGCAAACAGGAUUAGAUACCCGGGUAGUC